GGGCCUCCCACUGGGGGAGGGGGCGCUCUGUAAGGAUCGCCCGGGCCUUCGUGUCCUCCUUGCUGUCGCAGUUCCUGCAACGUUAACAGAACGUUUAGAAGAAAUAAACACCUUCAGAAAGCCUUGAGGUUGUGAAAAGCACUAUGCAAGUGCAAAAUUUUCCUUAAACGUGCUUGGUGUCAACAGCGAGGUUUAGGCCCGAAUGGUUACCUUCGCUCGUUUGUAUCAAUAGAUCUAUUCUCUCUGUGAAUGCUUGUCCCAGACAUUUCACAUUGUGAAUGUGACACAAUGUAGAUGAAGUCACACAGAUAGAAGCUUUUCCUACUAUUAACACCAAUAUGACUGAAGAAAAUUAGUGAACAAAUGCUCAAGACCAAAGUUGAGACGAAGCUUACACAUAUCCUACCAGCCAUAAUCCUGAAGGAUACGUAACUGGAUCAAUGGAAGUCGAUGAAACAACACAUUAGAGCAAAGCUGACUGCAUAUGAUGGGUCACACCAAGUAAUUCUGCAUGGAAACCACAAAUAUUUUACCUGGUGAACACGAAUGAUCAGCAAUAGCAGGGCUACCAAUGUGUAUGGAACUCGUGCUGGUGAGACCCUAUCUGGAGUAUUGUGAGCAGUUUUGGUCUCCUUAUUUAAGAAAAGUGAUACUCAUUGGAAGCAGUUCAGAGAAGGAUCACUAGGAUAAUCCCCAGUAUGGAAGUGAAACUUACUUCACAUUUUCCAAUAUCUGCUUUUUAAUUAAGGCAUAUCAGGUUCUUGGUGUUGUCCCAAUCGAAUUGGUGGUUCUCCUUGUCCAUGUGGAUAGAGAUGAGAUAUCUGGGUGGUCCUGCUAUCUGAUGAAUGACUGUUGAUUUCUUGUCGGUGGGUCUAUGAGGAUGUUUCCAUUUCCUCAUCAGGAUUCCAAUCUUAACAAUAACAACAUUCUGGAACUCCCUCAGCUUUAGCUUCAAUGAAAGCUGCCUGUUUUAACUUGCUUAUCUUUGGAUCUGCUUUCUGAGCCUCAAUUAAAGAAGAUAUGCCAAACACUGCUUUUGAAUUGUCUUCCUUUUUAAAUAGUUUCGGCUACCUUACCAUCUGCCUGUUGUAUUACUGUGAUUUCCAAAGGCGGCCCUGGUUGAGCUAUUUCUCUGCUCACUACGCAUGAUGGGAAAAUUCCUGGAAGCUGAUCCCGUUACCAAUGUUACCAUUAUUAACUUUUCCUUCUCUGUGGAGCUCCAAGGUUCACGUGUGACAGCAACUUCCUGAGCAAGCUGAUGGCCAUGUCUGGACUUGUAGCUCAGGGGAAACACUGCCUAAGAUCUGACAAAGCAGAGGCACUCU